rnacentral:rRNA from 1 species
GACGAACCGUCCAAACGUUGUUCGGGAUCACUGGGCUUAAAGGGCGCGUAGGCGGGUCUCCAAGUCGGUGGUGAAAUCUUUCGGCUCAACCGGAAAACAGCCGCCGAUACUGGGGGUCUCGAGGGAGGUAGGGGUCGAUGGAACUUCCGGUGGAGCGGUGAAAUGCGUAGAUAUCGGAAGGAACGCCGGUGGCGAAGGCAGCUCGCUGGGACGUUACUGACGCUGAGACGCGAAAGCGUGGGGAGCAAACAGG